rnacentral:rRNA from 1 species
GACGAACCGUACGAACGUUAUUCGGAAUCACUGGGCUUAGAGGGUGCGUAGGCGGCGCAGUAAGUUGGGUGUGAAAUCCCUCGGCUUAACCGAGGAAUUGCGCCCAAAACUACUGUGCUCGAGGGAGGUAGAGGUGAGCGGAACUUAGGGUGGAGCGGUGAAAUGCGUUGAUAUCCUAAGGAACACCGGUGGCGAAAGCGGCUCACUGGACCUCUUCUGACGCUGAGGCGCGAAAGCGUGGGGAGCAAACAGG